rnacentral:lncRNA from 1 species
CAGUUAUGCAGGAUCAAAGAGGGAAAGCAAAAAUGUGUUGUGUCAUCUCAGAGAGCCUCAGUGUCAUCUCAGGCUGGGAGUGGUGUCCUUUGCCUGUUGCCAAUGUGCUGAAAACUGGCCCUAGGGAUAAAGAUUGCAGGAGAGGUAAUUAUUGGCAGCAUGUCCUCAGCGGAAUAGCUUUAGUGAAAUAGCUCUGAGGUCACAGGCAUUUCCCUAAACAACUCUGAGCAUGGGCUGGCUGCCCCUGCUCUUUCCAGAGCUGGCACUGGUUGGAGGGGUCCUAAGAAGCAACAUGAGCCUCCCUGGUCUUUUUGCAGAGAACUGCAGCAAUUUAAUGAUGAAGUGCUGGAUUCACAACUGGAAAAAGCCAGAGGUGGAUGGUGGUGACAGAAGUGUGCUGUGUGGGAGCCACGCUUGCAGGUUGGCACAGGAGAAAGAACAGACAACUGAGCACUCCUCUGAAGAAACACUCCCAACCUGGAGAGGAAGAGUUGAUUUAUCAAGGCAUGAAAAAUCACGAAUAAAAAUUAAAUAUGAAUAUCUUUAAAGUUAAUAAUUAAAGUAAAUUUUUCAUGAUGUGGGUGGUGAGACCACUGGAGCAGAU